CCCCGUUUUCGAUGAAGUGCUACAGUGUUGCAGGAAAGUGAAAAUAUCUUCAAGCGACAGUUGAAGUCGUCCAUGGACUGGUUGGUACUGAUUAAACAGCCAGCUAGAUAGUGCCAACAAGAUCAGAGAGAACUUGUUAGAUCGAGAGACCGACUUGUCUUCACAUAAAAUCAACUUUAAAAAGGACAGCCAGUAUAAUGUUUUAUUCAAAUGCAUGGAGUAAGUGCUUGAUAUGCCUUAUUUUUUUAACAAGUGGAAAUGCCGAGUGUCCCAAACCUCAAGUAGAGGGAAAUGUUGUUCUAACGAAUGAUGCGCUAUUAAUGAACGAUUUUCCGGAGGGGGAGGAAGCCACUUUUGAGUGUGCCAACGGCUACUUGAAAGAGCAAGGAUCUGAAAGAAUCACCUGCACGAGUGGAGAGUGGAGCACGCUCAAAUUAACCUGCAAAAAGAAGGACUGUGGUGCCCCCAGGAAGAUGCCACAUUUGUCAUAUGAGUUUAAGGAAGGCACGCUUUUUGGUGCAUCAGCAAGAGCAAUCUGUGAUAAAGGUUAUCAACUUAUGGGCCCAAGUUAUAGGCAGUGUUAUGCCAUAGGUUGGAGUGGAAGACCAAGAUGUAAAGUGGUAACUUGUGAUAAACCUCCUGAGAUAAUGCAUGGCACGAUUGUAGAGAAGCCUGGCAAAGAGUUACCAGAGUAUGGUGGUGUCAUACAGUACUCCUGUAAUGAAGGUUACACCCUCAUUGGAAACAAAUCAAUUGAGUGCACUGAAGAUGGUGAAUACAACUCAUUACCUCCUGAAUGUAAAGAUGUCUAUGACAUUCUUUUGAAACCAACAACUAUAUCAACAUCAUCAAUAACAACAACAUCGACUGUUCCACCCACAAUACGAGAUGUCAAUGACAUUCUUUUGAAACCAACAACUAUAUCAACAUCAUCAAUAACAACAACAUCGUCUGUUCCACCCACAAUACGAGAUGUCAAUGGCAUUCUUUUGAAACCAACAACUAUAUCAACAUCAUCAAUAACAACAACAUCGACUGUUCCACCCACAAUACGAGUUUCAGGGAGGAAUAAUGGCAUUGGGGAACAUGACACCAAUGCAGCAACUGCAGUUGUGGGAAGUGGGAUCGGCACUGUCAUAGUUUCACUUAUUGUUAUUGUUCUGAUCACACGGUAUUGUAAGAGGAAAGGGUGAGAACCUACAUUUAAUAAUUUAUCUUUUUCGAAAAUAGUCCAUGAUUAAGCACGAUUUCACCUACAACUAAAUCAAAGAUAAUAUUUUCCUCUUACUAACUAUACUGUAUGUGCAUUAACCACAGCUUCUGGCUUUAAAUCAAAAAAUUAUUUGGAUAAACUAGCUAUACGGUUGGCCAAUUAAUUGACCUAAACAAUAUUUGUUAACAAAACUUUAUUUACAUAACCCAUCAACUAACAUUCAGUCUGGCCAUGGGCAUUUAUACUGUAUGUAUUCCCUACAGUAUCUGUGAUUUGCAUGAUCAAACUUUUUGCUGGUUACUUUUCCCUGUUUUGCCCAAAAAAUUACAUUUUUCCUGCAGUGUGUUGAAAAAUCAAGGAAGUAAGGAAAUCCUUUGCAAAGGCACUCUCGGACAGAUAUUGGCUUUGAAAAAGAGAAUAGAGUAUGUUGUUCUAAAGGGAGGUGGGGUAGUAGGCUAGGCUAUACACAGUGCUGAGCUGACCAGCUUUCUAACUGCCUACCACACUGGAACACACAAACUACCCAACUAAAACACUGCUAAAAUACUGAGAUUGGCAUGCAGAAUAUAUUUCUUUACUGCACUAUUAUAUGUAAACAUGGUAAUCCUGACAAACUGUCAUUGUUUGAAAAUGAUACAUAGCUCGUACCAGUUUGGAGAAGACCGAAGUCGAACAGAGGAAUUAUUACAAUUUCAAAAUAACCAAGUUGAAUGCCUACCCAAGGGCUAGGACUGCACCUAUCUGCUAGUCUGCAUCUGCAGCCUUGAAAAGUAGUGCCAGCGGAUUGUUCCUCUGACCAUUCCCUGGUUGGACAAAGCCAUUUAAUUUACAGUGCCCUUAUGUAUGUGACAAUACUGAAUGGAAGUUAUAAUUGCACUUUUUAUUAAGUUGUUUUUGAAAGUCAGUUCAGUGGAAAUGUUUUAACCCAAUGUUUGAAAACCGGUAUUGAAAUAUUUUUUUUCUCUAUUUAUAUACAAAACUGAAAUAUACAUAAUUGUCUUUUCAACUGCCAUAUUUGACUACAGUUUGCUUACUUGCUCUGUUGUGUGGGCAGAAGCCCCUGUAAUGAGAUUAGUGCACUAAACAAAAUGAAUGAUUGAGGAAAUUCCCAGGCUGAUAAUCACUGACCAUUUCUAAAUGUGUGCUUACUGAUCAUGGCUCACAGGAAAAUAACAGUAUGAGACAGUUUCCUCGACCCAGGUUAAGCCUACAGCACUGUAUUCCUUUUCAAGUAGGCUUAAUCUGGGUCCAGGAAACCAGCUCUUCAUGUUAUUUUCCGGCAGCCCCAAAUGUCACAAAAUAAUGUCAAUCUUAUUUACUUAGAGGUUUUGUACUUUGAUUUUCUAGUGUGUAUUGUGUGAUUUAAGAGAUCAAAUUACUUUUAUGA